rnacentral:circRNA from 1 species
GAUGAUCCGGCCCAGCGUCUACCGCAACGUGGCGCGUCAGCUGCACAUCUCCCUGCAGUCUGAGCCUGUGGUGACCGAUGCGUUCCUGGCCGUGGCUGGCCACAUCUUCUCUGCAGACUGAUGUCCUCAAGUGUGUGGUCAGCACAGACCCUGGCCUCCGCUCCCACUGGCUGGUGGCUGCACUCUGCAGCUUCGGCCGCUUCCUGAAGGCUGCCUUCUUCGUGCUGCUGCCAGAGA